rnacentral:rRNA from 2 species
CAGUGAAAUUGAACUCGCUGUGAAGAUGCAGUGUACCCGCGGCAAGACGGAAAGACCCCGUGAACCUUUACUAUAGCUUGACACUGAACAUUGAGCCUUGAUGUGUAGGAUAGGUGGGAGGCUUUGAAGUGUGGACGCCAGUCUGCAUGGAGCCGACCUUGAAAUACCACCCUUUAAUGUUUGAUGUUCUAACGUGGACCCGUGAUCCGGGUUGCGGACAGUGUCUGGUGGGUAGUUUGACUGGGGCGGUCUCCUCCUAAAGAGUAACGGAGGAGCACGAAGGUUGGCUAAUCCUGGUCGGACAUCAGGAGGUUAGUGCAAUGGCAUAAGCCAGCUUGACUGCGAGCGUGACGGCGCGAGCAGGUGCGAAAGCAGGUCAUAGUGAUCCGGUGGUUCUGAAUGGAAGGGCCAUCGCUCAACGGAUAAAAGGUACUCCGGGGAUAACAGGCUGAUACCGCCCAAGAGUUCAUAUCGACGGCGGUGUUUGGCACCUCGAUGUCGGCUCAUCACAUCCUGGGGCUGAAGUAGGUCCCAAGGGUAUGGCUGUUCGCCAUUUAAAGUGGUACGCGAGCUGGGUUUAGAACGUCGUGAGACAGUUCGGUCCCUAUCUGCCGUGGGCGCUGGAGAACUGAGGGGGGCUGCUCCUAGUACGAGAGGACCGGAGUGGACGCAUCACUGGUGUUCGGGUUGUCAUGCCAAUGGCACUGCCCGGUAGCUAAAUGCGGAAGAGAUAAGUGCUGAAAGCA